AACUUCCCAAGAGCACUUGAGGUAAACCAAAGUAGAACUUCACCACCAUAGAAUGUGCUCUACAACAGUUGAAUUGGGGGAAAGUGUCUAUAAAGUAGGAGGCAUGGCCUUGGCCUCUCUUCAGUGGACCUGAAUAAAUGCGUGAAUUUUUCUUCCAUUUCAGGCCCACGUGGGUCAUGGUCAUUUCUCACAUCCCCCGGCUCUCUGGAACUGGGAAGAUUUAUGAGUGCCCUGUACCCUCUGCCAAGUCACACACGCAGUUUGUUUGCAGAUGAAAGUGAGGAAGGACAUUUUUUUCACUCCCCCCUAGAAGACUGAACCUUCGUGUGUAGAAAGUAACACUCAUCAUUUGCGAGAGAAAUGUGGGUUUCUGAAGAUAUAACAUAAUCUCGGAAACAAACAAAAGACACAACACUCGCAGAGGAACCUGCCAGAGAAGAUUUGGUACUCAGUGUAACCCAGGACUGAGGAUCCGGGUUCAAUUCCCAGCACUCACCUGACAGCUCACAGUGGUCUGGGACUCCACUGUCAGAGGACCCAACACUUUCUUCUCACCUCAAAGGUAAGCACAUGCCACAUGGAAGAAACACAUGCCAGCAAAAUUAAUAAAAACUAAAUUAAAAAAUAAAAGUAGGGGAUAAUAGUUUGUUUUUAAAUCAUGUCUCUUAACAUCAGAAGCUAAACUUUUAAUGUGUCACCAAUGUCACUGUCAAACAUGAUUAA